UUCAUCUCGUUUCGGAACUCUAACUUCAUUUCCAUGCAUGAAUUCACCUGUCAGUUUUUGACCAAUCUGAGAUAAGGUCAUUGAAGCAUGGCAAAAUACUUUUCCGAAACAAAAUAAACAAUGUAUUGAAGCGUAGGAGAGGGAAUUUCUGCCCUUUAUACAUGAACUACAGUAUUGAAAAUGUUAUAAAACAAUUGGCUCAUACGUCAGCUGUGUGUUCAUCGAGAUAUAAAGCACUUGGGACGUUUGGAGAGCACUCAAGAAGCUAGAGUUGCUCUCGGCUAUGCCUCAAGCAACUUUUGUGCUCUCCAAACUUCCCGCGUGCUUCAUAUCUCGAUGAUGCACGCUGACGCAUGAACUAAUUGUUAAAUGACUAAUGUAUGUAAGGAAAUGAGUGACAAGUUUAGGGGAGAAUUAAUAAUCAGAUCUUGGGAGUCAAAGUGUGAACAUCUUACUGCCUUCAUUCUCUUUAGGUGCUGUUAAUAUAAAUGAUUCUAUCAAGAGACUCAAGUGGGGUGUUGGGCGGCUUAUUGCAGAGGCACAAGUAACACCAAUCGUUGUCCCAUUUUGGCAUGAAGGAAUGGAUGAUGUUUUACCUAACCGUAGC